GGAGGCGUAGUCCUAAUUGGUAAGGCACCGCACUCGAAAUGCGGCGGGCUUCAUCGCCCUUGGGGGUUCGAGUCCCUCCGCCUCCG
rnacentral:tRNA from 1 species